GACGAACGCUGGCGGCAUGCCUAAUACAUGCAAGUAGAACGAGUGGCGGACGGGUGAGUAAUGUCUGGGAACCUGCCCGAUGGAGGGGGAUAACUACUGGAAACGGUAGCUAAUACCGCAUACCAUCGGAUGUGCCCAGAUGGGAUUAGCUAGUGGGUGGGGUAACGGCUCACCUAGGCCACGAUCCGUAGCUGGUCUGAGAGGAUGACCAGCCACACUGGAACUGAGACACGGUCCAGACUCCUACGGGAGGCAGCAGUGGGGAAUAUUGCACAAUGGGCGAAAGCCUGAUGCAGCCAUGCCGCGUGUAUGAAGAAGGCCUUCGGGUUGUAAAGUACUUUAAGCGGGGAGGCGUUACUCGCAGAAGAAGCACCGGCUAACUACGUGCCAGCAGCCGCGGUAAUAC
rnacentral:rRNA from 1 species